CGAAACCUUGGAACCUCUCCACCGGCAGCCGGCAGCGAGUCCCGUUUGAACCCCGAGUCUGAAUCCGGGUUUAAACCCCGGCUACGCACUCGCCGGCUGUUGACCUUGAUCAAGUCGCGUUCCUGGAAGCCAGCUUACCACCCGCCAGCGUGCACAACUGGCUUCCCCACAGAUGCCCACCAUAGAGAAUACCUUGUGCCUAGUCUGCCCUGGCUGCUUGACUGUGUUAGGGGACAGCCUGGAUUCCUCUGCUACGGGAAAUGGAAGGACCAUCCAAUUUGCAAGCCACGAAGGCUGAUAUUGUAGCCGUGAAAUUGGACUCCAAGAUUUCUGCAAGCAAAAAUAGACACACUAAGAUUCUGCAAAUUAAGGAUGUCAUAGGAUAUUUCUUUUUCUCUGUCUGACUUACUUCACUCGGUAAGACAUGGUCCAAAAGGAUACACGUACCCCAGUGUUCAUUGCAGCACUACUGACAAUAGCCAGGACAUGGAAGCAACCUAAAAGUCCAUUGACAGAGGAAUGGAUAAAGAAGAUGUGGUACAUAUAUACAGUGGAAUAUUUCUCAGCCAUUAAAAAGAAUGAAGUAAUGAUACUUGCAGCAUAAUGGAUGAAACUAGAGAUGGUCUCCACUGCUCUUGAAAAGUCUCUAGGGAUGGGAGUCAAGUGAAGAGAAGAGACCUCUCAGAGAAGGACCAAGAAGAGGCAGCUGAUUCACUGAGCAUCCAGGUAAUCCACCACCACUCAGAAGAGACGGAGGCAACCAUUCACAGUGGAGCACAGUGGUGGAGCCCUUGGUGAAUGAGUCCAGCUUGGGCAGCUGGGACAAGAGCCCAAGAAAAGGGAGGGGACAGUCAAGGCAGGAGGAGGCAGGGAAGUGUUCAGGGAAACAUGCCCUACAAGAGCCCGAGCAGACAUGAAAGCUGACAGAACACUAGAGAAGGAUGAAAGCUGAGCUGUUCUGUCUGGAGCAGGAAAGCAGAAGGUGGAAUUCUGAGAUCAAGGAGGUCAGUAGGGAGAUGGAGAGAUAGUGGGAAAUCAAG